rnacentral:rRNA from 1 species
AUUGAACGCUGGCGGCAUGCCUUACACAUGCAAGUCGAACGGCAGCGCGGACUUCGGUCUGGCGGCGAGUGGCGAACGGGUGAGUAAUGUAUCGGAACGUACCAUUCAGUGGGGGAUAACGCAGCGAAAGUUGCGCUAAUACCGCAUAUUCUGUGCGCAGGAAAGCAGGGAUCGCAAGACCUUGCGCUGAUUGAGCGGCCGAUAUCAGAUUAGCUAGUUGGUGAGGUAAAGGCUCACCAAGGCGACGAUCUGUAGCGGGUCUGAGAGGAUGAUCCGCCACACUGGAACUGAGACACAGUCCAGACUCCUACGGGAGGCAGCAGUGGGGAAUUUUGGACAAUGGGCGCAAGCCUGAUCCAGCCAUGCCGCGUGAGUGAAGAAGGCCUU